UACAGAGGGGGCAAGCGUUGUUCGGAAUUACUGGGCGUAAAGGGCGCGUAGGCGGCCUGUUAAGUCGAACGUGAAAUCCCCGGGCUCAACCCCGGGAACUGCGUCCGAUACUGGCAGGCUUGAAUCCAGGAGAGGUGAGUGGAAUUCCGAGUGUAGAGGUGAAAUUCGUAGAUAUUCGGAAGAACACCAGUGGCGAAGGCGACUUACUGGACACAUAUUGACGCUGAGGUGCGAAAGCGUGGGGAGCAAACAGG
rnacentral:rRNA from 1 species